CAGUAGCCACGGUAACACGGAGGGGGCUAGCGUUGUUCGGAAUUACUGGGCGUAAAGCGCACGUAGGCGGCUUGGUAAGUUAGAGGUGAAAGCCUGGAGCUCAACUCCAGAAUUGCCUUUAAGACUGCCGAGCUAGCAGGUGAGAGAGGUAAGUGGAAUUCCGAGUGUAGAGGUGAAAUUCGUAGAUAUUCGGAGGAACACCGGUGGCGAAAGCGGCUCUCUGGCUUGUAACUGACGCUGAGGCUCGAAAGCGUGGGGAGCAAACAGGAUUAGAUACCCGUGUAGUCCCUGUCUCUUAUAC
rnacentral:rRNA from 1 species